rnacentral:rRNA from 2 species
GGGUUGUGAGGUUAAGCGACUAAGCGUACACGGUGGAUGCCCUGGCAGUCAGAGGCGAUGAAGGACGUGCUAAUCUGCGAUAAGCGCCGGUAAGGUGAUAUGAACCGUUAUAACCGGCGAUUUCCGAAUGGGGAAACCCAGUGUGAUUCGUCACACUAUCAUUAACUGAAUCCAUAGGUUAAUGAGGCGAACCGGGGGAACUGAAACAUCUAAGUACCCCGAGGAAAAGAAAUCAACCGAGAUUCCCCCAGUAGCGGCGAGCGAACGGGGAGGAGCCCAGAGCCUGAAUCAGCAUGUGUGUUAGUGGAAGCGUCUGGAAAGGCGCGCGAUACAGGGUGACAGCCCCGUACACAAAAGCGCAUGUGCUGUGAGCUCGAUGAGUAGGGCGGGACACGUGGUAUCCUGUCUGAAUAUGGGGGGACCAUCCUCCAAGGCUAAAUACUCCUGACUGACCGAUAGUGAACCAGUACCGUGAGGGAAAGGCGAAAAGAACCCCGGCGAGGGGAGUGAAAAAGAACCUGAAACCGUGUACGUACAAGCAGUGGGAGCACCCUUUGGGGUGUGACUGCGUACCUUUUGUAUAAUGGGUCAGCGACUUAUA